rnacentral:rRNA from 1 species
UGAGUAACCUGCCCUUAACUCUGGGAUAAGCCUGGGAAACUGGGUCUAAUACCGGAUAUGACUCCUCAUCGCAUGGUGGGGGGUGGAAAGCUUUUUGUGGUUUUGGAUGGACUCGCGGCCUAUCAGCUUGUUGGUGAGGUAAUGGCUCACCAAGGCGACGACGGGUAGCCGGCCUGAGAGGGUGACCGGCCACACUGGGACUGAGACACGGCCCAGACCUCCGUACGGGAGGCAG